UACGUAGGGGGCGAGCGUUGUCCGGAUUUAUUGGGCGUAAAGAGCGUGUAGGCGGCCAGGUAGGUCUGCUGUGAAAACUCGAGGCUCAACCUCGAGACGUCGGCGGAAACCAUCUGGCUAGAGUCCGGAAGAGGAGAGUGGAAUUCCUGGUGUAGCGGUGAAAUGCGCAGAUAUCAGGAAGAACACCAACGGCGAAAGCACUCUGCUGGGCCGACACUGACACUGAGAGACGAAAGCUAGGGGAGCGAAUGGG
rnacentral:rRNA from 1 species